rnacentral:rRNA from 1 species
GCAUAUCAAUAAGCGGAGGAAAAGAAACCAACAGGGAUUGCCCCAGUAACGGCGAGUGAAGCGGCAACAGCUCAAAUUUGAAAUCUGGCCCUCGCGGUCCGAGUUGUAAUUUGUAGAGGAUGCUUUUGGUGCGGUGCCUUCCGAGUUCCCUGGAACGGGACGCCAUAGAGGGUGAGAGCCCCGUCUGGUUGGAUGCCAAACCUCUGUAAAGCUCCUUCGACGAGUCGAGUAGUUUGGGAAUGCUGCUCAAAAUGGGAGGUAUAUGUCUUCUAAAGCUAAAUACCGGCCAGAGACCGAUAGCGCACAAGUAGAGUGAUCGAAAGAUGAAAAGCACUUUGAAAAGAGGGUUAAAUAGUACGUGAAAUUGUUGAAAGGGAAGCGUUUGUGACCAGACUUGGGCUCGGUGAAUCAUCCGGCGUUCUCGCCGGUGCACUUCGCCGGUCCAGGCCAGCAUCGGUUCGCUCGCGGGGGAUAAAGGCGUCGGGAAUGUGGCUCCUCGGAGUGUUAUAGCCCUUCGCACAAUACCCUGCGGUGGACCGAGGUUCGCGCAUCUGCAAGGAUGCUGGCGUAAUGGUCAUCAACGACCCGUCUUGAAACACGGACCAAGGAGUCGUCUUCGUAUGCGAGUGUUCGGGUGUCAAACCCCUACGCGUAAUGAAAGUGAACGGAGGUGAGAGCUACGGCGCAUCAUCGACCGAUCCUGAUGUUCUCGGAUGGAUUUGAGUAAGAGCAUACGGGGCCGGACCCGAAAGAAGGUGAACUAUGCCUGUAUAGGGUGAAGCCAGAGGAAACUCUGGUGGAGGCUCGCAGCGGUUCUGACGUGCAAAUCGAUCGUCAAAUAUGGGCAUGGGGGCGAAAGACUAAUCGAACCUUCUAGUAGCUGGUUUCCGCCGAAGU